UGCCAGCCGCUCAGAACUUAAGGAAUUGACGGGGCCGCACAAGCGGUGGAGUAUGUGGUUAAUUCGAUGCAACGCGAAGAACCUUACCUGGUCUUGACAUCCCGGAGACCCUUAGGAAACUAGGGGGUGCUUCCAUCUGGAAGAAUCUGGAGACAGGUGCUGCAUGGCUGUCGUCAGCUCGUGUCGUGAGAUGUUGGGUUAAGUCCCGCAACGAGCGCAACCCUUGCCUUUAGUUGCCAGCAGUUCGGCUGGGCACUCUAAAGGGACUGCCGGUGUUAAACCGGAGGAAGGUGGGGAUGACGUCAAGUCCUCAUGGCCUUUAUGACCAGGGCUACACACGUACUACAAUGGCCGAUACAAAGGGCAGCGACACUGCGAGGUGAAGCCAAUCCCGUAAAAUCGGUCUCAGUCCGGAUUGGAGUCUGCAACUCGACUCCAUGAAGUUGGAAUCGCUAGUAAUCGUGGAUCAGCAUGCCACGGUGAAUACGUUCCCGGGCCUU
rnacentral:rRNA from 1 species